UGGCAUGUGACAUUACAUGUUAUAGUAACCCUCAAUGAGGCCUUUCUGUCAUAAAGAUUUUAAUGCAGAAAGAAGAGGGGGUGGAAUCUCCAAGCACCACUUUAAUCUAACAGCAAUGAGAAAGGUGUGAUUGAUUCAGCUAGAGUACUACCCAGAAGCCAUGGCGGAUGCCAUUUUGGCAUGUAACUCAUCCCCAGAGGAGACAGACUGGCUGGUAACUACAAAUAGGGGCAGAUAAUAAAACCCUUAGGCUCCGUCUGCAACUCAUUCGCUGGGAAAAUGUUCUCACCUCCUGAAUGGAAAUUUUGGAAGAAGAAAAAGGCCAGAGGGAGAGGAGGGAAGGAGAAGAAAAAACUUAUCCCAGUAUAGCUCAGUGCUUCGGAUGUUUGCUUAAGCUCCCUGAGACUCCACUCAAGGGCCUAAUUCAGGCUUGGACCUGAACCUCAGCCUUCCAGUUUCUACAGAAAUAUCCUGACAGCCAGUGCACUGGUUACUUCAAGGAGACACUUUUUUCAAAUGCUUCUACACAACAAGCUUCAUUAUAGGUAAAUUACUAAAGGUCUAAAAUUCAUCAUUCUUUAAUUAGAAAAUGCCAACAUACAAAAUCCCUUCCUUAGUCCAAUUCCUGCACCCCACAUCCUGCACUGUCUUAUCGUUCAGCUUUUAAUACCACAAACAUGCCUUGUUUUCUCAGGUCUCCCUCUCCUGUGUGCAGGACAGCGCUGCUCUUGGAGAUGGAUGCAAGCUGCAAAGGCGACAGCUGCAGUGCCCUUACUUCACCCAUCACUGAAGUUUUCAAGUAUGUAGAAAAGGAACCUGGCAAUCUCAGAUGAUAAGAGGUGAUCUUGUCUUAUCAUCAGAGCAGUUCAUCACCUCACUAAAGAAUUAAGAGUCUUCUAAAAUACACAUCUCUUGCAGAAAAUGUUUCACAGGAGGUCACUACCUGAGCACCUGACCACAGAAUGAAGGUGCCGAUCAGCAGAAUGCACCACACCUGGGUAUGCUUUGGAUGUUUUAAGUACAUACCACAUUCUGAAGAAAAACAGUAAAAACAAGUUCUGGAUGAGGAGGUGUAGGACUCCU